rnacentral:rRNA from 1 species
UCAACCNUAGUGUGCACUGGAAACUGUNUGACUUGAGUGCAGAAGGGGAGAGUGGAAUUCCAUGUGUAGCGGUGAAAUGCGUAGAUAUAUGGAGGAACACCAGUGGCGAAAGCGGCUCUCUGGUCUGUCACUGACGCUGAGGCUCGAAAGCGUGGGUAGCGAACAGGAUUAGAUACCCUGGUAGUCCACGCCGUAAACGAUGAGUGCUAGGUGUUAGGCCCUUUCCGGGGCUUAGUGCCGGAGCUAACGCAAUAAGCACUCCGCCUGGGGAGUACGACCGCAAGGUUGAAACUCAAAGGAAUUGACGGGGGCCCGCACAAGCGGUGGAGCAUGUGGUUUAAUUCGAAGCAACGCGAAGAACCUUACCAGGUCUUGACAUCCCGAUGCUAUUCUUAGAGAUAGGAAGUUACUUCGGUACAUCGGAGACAGGUGGUGCAUGGUUGUCGUCAGCUCGUGUCGUGAGAUGUUGGGUUAAGUCCCGCAACGAGCGCAACCCUUAUUGUUAGUUGCCAUCAUUAAGUUGGGCACUCUAGCGAGACUGCCGGUAAUAAACCGGAGGAAGGUGGGGAUGACGUCAAAUCAUCAUGCCCCUUAUGACCUGGGCUACACACGUGUUACAAUGGUCGGUACAACGAGUUGCGAGCCGGUGACGGCAAGCUAAUCUCUGAAAGCCGAUCUCAGUUCGGAUUGGAGGCUGCAACUCGCCUCCAUGAAGUCGGAAUCGCUAGUAAUCGCGGAUCAGCACGCCGCGGUGAAUACGUUCCCGGGCCUUGUACACGCCGCCCGUCACACCACGAGAGUUUGUAACACCCGAAGUCGGUGAGGUAACCUUUUAGGGGCCAGC